UGUAGGGAUCGGCUUUAGGUAACGCUUUGGCCAAAUUUCUUGUGUUUUGGCAAAUAUGGACGGGAAUUCAUCUGCCGCCCAUCGUCAUGGAAUUCAAGACGUUUCCAUUUCUGAUUUUUUUCCUCCACACCCAACAACAUGCCUCUUUGCAAAUCGGAGAUCAUUUGGUGUAUUCGACAUUCCAACUCCAGGCUCCCCACAUUAUCCAAAUUUUGAUCCAGCAAAGAAAAGAAAAGAAAAUUAAUCAGUUACUAAUUUUGCUGUUGCACAAGGGAUUGCGGAAGAUUAUUUGAAGGAAAAAUGUGGAAUUUGAUGUCAUGUUUGGGGUUCUCUGUUUCCAUAUUGGUCCUUGCUUGUAUACAGAGUAUUGUAGAUUGUGGGGAUUUCAAACUAUAAAUGUUGCCGAGUAUGUUCAAGAUGAUGGUGAUGGUGAUCUAGGUCUAUGAAUACUUUUAACUUUAUGGGUUUAAGGUCCACCAAAAUGUAUGUUUGGUGCAGCUUAAGGUUCUGAAAAAGAAAGAAAUAAUUGAACUCAUUUGAGUGUAGUUUGGUCGAUCAUGACUACGAAUUUAGUGAUGUAUAUCAUAAUGGACCUUUGCCAUGACGGGUGCGCUUGCUUGGCAGGUCAAAAAAACAUUAAUAAAAUUACAUUAUUUUGUGUGUUUGGGGAAGGAGAUGUCACGCGACUCUCCUUCCCUGUGUUGUGCGUGUCUCUUUCUCUUCCCUCUUUCUAUUCAUUGUGUACAACACUAAUUUGAGGUGGAACAAUUACUAUUAAGAUGAACUCCACCAAUAUUUAUUUGUAUAUUUGAAUCGAUGACAUUUGAUAUUAUUUAUAUGACGCAACUCGCCUUCGUAUCUUCAA